UUUCCGUAGGUGAACCUGCGGAAGGAUCAUUAGUGAAUACGGGAUCGUUACAUCGAUUCCGGACCACAUUUCAAACCAUUGUGCACCGUGAUUUUUUGCGCCUCAAGUAACGCAUGUCGUAGUCAUACAAAAAAGUUUAAUAAAACUUUCAGCAACGGAUCUCUUGGCUCUC
rnacentral:misc_RNA from 1 species